rnacentral:lncRNA from 1 species
CUGAGCUCUCCAAAUAAGGAACCCUGUGGUUGCCAAGCAACCACAGAUUUUCUACAAGUGUCUGUGCCAUGUGUACUUAAACUGCAGUCGGCCUUUUUUUCCUUUAACUUUUCCAAGUUUAGAAAAAUGAAUAUAUGAAAUACAAGUAAAGCUAUGUGUGUUUUGAAGAAGGUACUGGGAACUCGGAAACCACCAAAAUAGCAGAAUCCCCUUCCAGAUGUUGUGUCCAGCUUUGACUUGAUUGUAACAAAAAGACCGUGGUGAAAGUUAUGCCGCAGGACUUCUGACACUACGUCAAAAAAGGCCAUGCAGUUUCUAACUGGUUCUCUUAACCAUAAUCCCUCUCAAAAUACUUCCUCCUGGAAUCCAGCUGAUAUGCCAUGAGAAGCCCAGACGGCAUGAAGAGGCCAUUAGUAUCAGCUGAGAACCUAAACGAACAGAAAACAAAAUAUAUUUUUCUUCCUCUACCAAAGUUCAUGAGCAAGAAAGGAUGUGAAAAAAGAAAAAUGGCUGGUCUGGAAGUAUAUCAGAGAGUGGAGAAAAUCUGGAGGUGUUAAG